rnacentral:rRNA from 1 species
GAUGAACGCUAGCGGCAGGCCUAACACAUGCAAGUCGAGGGGUAGAAUUAGCCUGCUAAUUUGAGACCGGCGCACGGGUGCGUAACGCGUACGCAAUCUGCCUUGUACUGAGGGAUAGCCCAGAGAAAUUUGGAUUAAUAUCUCAUAGCAUUAUGAUGUGGCAUCACCUUAUAAUUAAAGUUCUAACGGUACAAGAUGAGCAUGCGUCCCAUUAGUUAGUUGGUAAGGUAACGGCUUACCAAGACGAGGAUGGGUAGGGGUCCUGAGAGGGAGAGCCCCCACACUGGUACUGAGACACGGACCAGACUCCUACGGGAGGCAGCAGUGAGGAAUAUUGGUCAAUGGGCGCAAGCCUGAACCAGCCAUGCCGCGUGCAGGAUGACGGUCCUAUGGAUUGUAAACUGCUUUUAUACGGGAAGAAACACUCCUACGUGUAGGAACUUGACGGUACCGUAAGAAUAAGGAUCGGCUAACUCCGUGCCAGCCGCCGCAGUAAAAC